UCGUUGGGAUUUAAACCUACUUGUCAAGUAAAGAGAACUAAUCUUACAACUAAUUUAGUUGCUUACUAACAGACUAUGAGGAAAGCUUAUCGUAGCAAUUGGGGAUUGCAGCGAUUUUUCUCGAAUGUUGGGAAUAAUUUUAUUUGACAUAGCUUCUAACAUUUCGAUACCAAAUUCAAUUCUGAAUCCUUCAAAGCGUUUUUUUCUAGUUGAACAUCAACUCGAUCAGUUGCUGGAGGAGUGAUUACUGAUGAUGCGGGAGAAGAGGAUGGAACAAUGUAGCUACAACAAAACGACAACACAGAAAAAGAAAGGUGUAAAAGAUUGUGUAUUAGGCCACUUUCUGCAUAGUUUUAAUUUAUAUAUAUUGUUUAUUCAAAAGCAAGCUUAAUCAGUAAUCUGUGAAUCUGUAUUAGGACAUAUAAAAAGAUUCAACAUCUUGUAUUCCUACUGAAUGUACGAAAAUAGAAUGAUUUUUAUUUAUUAAAA